UUCCUUCUUCAUCGGUCCCGGCUUUCCCUUCUCUCUAAAAUUUCGGUUUCUUUUCUCCUUGAGUUCUAGCCAUCCAAGAACUUCUCCAAGAUCAGAACUCCCCAAAUCCUUUAAAUUCCACAUUAAUUCCUUCCCCUCUUCUUCCAACUUGGAUCCGAGUAAAGGGAGAUUAAAACCUAGGGUUUGUGAUUCUUCCAACGUGAGUUCGAGCUUAAGCAUCGGGUGGAGUUCCUGCCUUGGAUUUCGAUUUCAGUCAAGAGCUAGGUUUUCGACGGCUUGGUGCGAUUCUCCUCGUCGAAUUCGCCGACUUUGAUUCAGGAUCUCAGCUCCCUCUUUGCCUCAGAUUCGAGUUUUGCUUAGUGGUGGG